GAUGAAGAACGUAGCGAAAUGCGAUAAGUAAUGUGAAUUGCAGAAUUCAGUGAAUCAUCGAAUCUUUGAACGCACAUUGCGCCCGCUAGUAUUCUGGCGGGCAUGCCUGUCCGAGCGUCAUUUCAACCCUCAAGCCCCCGGGCUUGGUGUUGGGGAUCGGCGAGCCUCCGCGCCCGCCGUCCCCUAAAUCUAGUGGCGGUCUCGCUGUAGCUUCCUCUGCGUAGUAGCACACCUCGCACUGGGAAACAGCGCGGCCACGCCGUUAAACCCAACUUCUGAACGUUUGACCUCGGAUCAGGUAGGAAUACCCGCUGAACUUAAGCAUAUCAAUAAGCGGAGGA
rnacentral:misc_RNA from 1 species